rnacentral:lncRNA from 1 species
AAUGGGCGUGGCUCAGUGUUUUCAGAUUUGAAGAACAUGGCGCAAAAUAUGUACAAAUAAUUAUGACAAAUGUUAAGAAAAUGUUGACCAAUGAGGAAGCUUUUGUGAAUGAUGAUGAGGAAGUCGACUGAGCCAGAGGGAUUUUCCCCAUUCUAUACCCCCAUUGUCUUCUUCCCGAUUAUACACUUUUUUCCCAAAGUAUGCACUUGCGCAUUUUCUGUCAUGGAUCAGAAUUUGAUUGGCGUAAUUAUUGGCUAAAGGGAGUUCCCACCAUUGUUAAAUCUAUGACGGGAAAGGGUGGAUAAUUGGGAUCUAGCUCUCUAACCCCAGCCCUAACCCCUAGAGAAGUUUCAACUCAGGUUUGUCUUGUUCGUUCAAGCUUACCAGCGGUUUUCCUGUCAGCGGCUAUUGUUUCCAACCCUUGCUUUGCUAGUCCUCCUGGUUUUGACCGAUGCCUGACAUCUCUGCCUGAGCCUGCACCUUUGCUCCACCUCUGGAUUACUGAACCCUGCCUGACCCUGAGUCUGCCUGCCGUCCUGUACCUUUGCCUAACCCUUGAUUUUCGACCCCUGCCUGCCUUGACCUGUCUUUGCAUGUCCCUGUUUGCUACAAUAAACAGGGUUACUUCGACAGUCUGCAUCUGGGUCUUACCUUGAUUCUUGAUAAGC